rnacentral:rRNA from 1 species
UACGUAGGGGGCAAGCGUUGUCCGGAAUCAUUGGGCGUAAAGAGCGCGUAGGCGGCCCAGCAAGUCCGCUGUGAAAGCCCGGGGCUCAACCCCGGGAGGCGGGUGGAUACUGUCAAGCUCGAGUCCGGAAGAGGAGUGUGGAAUUCCUGGUGUAGCGGUGAAAUGCGCAGAUAUCAGGAGGAACACCAAUGGCGAAGGCAGCACUCUGGGACGUGACUGACGCUGAGACGCGAAAGCGUGGGGAGCAAACAGG